AAAUGAACCUACAUGACAAAUGACAGCAGAGAAGCAGUGACACCCUGGGAGCCAUGAGCUCACCUUGUGUCCAGAUCUUGGUUUCUAAGGAACAUUCUCCAUGGAAAGGAACAGGGCUCCCUAGAGAAACAGCUGACCCCAGGACCGGCCCAGGGAAUGUACGAAAUCUGCCAGAAACAUUUUGUGGUGCCAGAAAGGAUCAGAAAAAUGUGCUCAGGAGUAAGAUUCAGCAGAAUAAAGAGGAAUCUAAGGAAAAGGAAACAUGAGAUUCAAACACUGAUGGAAAUACACCAGAAGAGCAGUGGAAAGCAACACAAGGAUACUAACAUUAAGGCAGACGGCAUACGGGGAGUGAAAAGGGAACCCGCUGAACAGAAGAGACUGGCAUGCAUUUAUCGGACUAAAGGCUCAUCUCUAGAGCAUGUGUAGAGCUCAUAAAAAAUCAUCAUAGUGAAACAGUUAAACCAACGCAACAGUAAAAUGAGCAAAAGGCUUUGCAAAAAUAUCCAAUGACCAAUAAACAUAUGAACAGCU